rnacentral:rRNA from 1 species
CAGUCGUACCUGCGGGUAAUCAGCCUUUUGGGCAUGAUUCUGUGGAGCGUGAGGAGUUAAACGCCUUCAUGCCUGCAUAUUCGUGCUCUUGGGUGUACUUGCUCGUGUGGUUGGUUAACAUCAAUUUCGGUUAUCAUAAAAUGACUGGAGGAAUGUAGCUUCGAUCUCGUAUUGAAGUGUUAUAGCCUUUGGUAGAUGUGAUGUUUGAGACCGAGGAUUGCAACGGAUACCCUUCAGGGCUAUUCGUCUGAUCUCUGAUACGUUGCCCUGAUGUUGAAAGCUUGCUUAUGAUGUUAGGGUAUUACGGUCAAAAGGUUAGAACGAAUUACA